AGAGCACAGGGAGGAUGCCUUGGCAUCAGGAGCCGAAGAAGGACGUGACAAGCUGCGAUAAGCUGUGGGGAAUGGCAAAUACGUAUUGAUCCACAGAUUUCCGAAUGGGGAAACCCGGCCAGAGUAGAGACUGGUCAACCUAUGGUGAACAAAAUAGCCGUAGGUGGGGAACCCGCCGAACUGAAACAUCUAAGUAGGCGGAGGAAGAGAAAGAAACAUCGAUUUCCUGAGUAGCGGCGAGCGAAAGGGAACGAGGCCAAACCGGAGGUAGCAAUACCUUCGGGGUUGCGGACUGCAUAAUGCAUUGCAAAGAGUUAGUAGAACCGUAUGGGAAGACGGGCCACAGAGGGUAAAAGCCCCGUAUGCGAAAAUUCUGAGCAGCAGGCAGGAUCCAGAGUACCAUCGGACACGAGUAACCCGGUGGGAAGCCGGGGGGCCCACCCCCCAAGCCUAAAUACUACCUGAUGACCGAUAGCGCACAGUACUGUGAAGGAAAGGUGAAAAGAACCCCGGGAGGGGAGUGAAAGAGAACCUGAAACCCUGUGUUUACAAGCAGACAGAGCACGUUAAGGUGCGAUGUCGUACUUUUUGUAGAACGGUCCAGCGAGUAUAUGUCACAAGCAAGGUUAAGUGCUUAAGGUACGAAGCCGAAGGGAAACCGAGUCUUAAUAGGGCGGAUAGUUUGUGGUAUAUGACCCGAAACCGGGUGACCUAUCCAUGGACAGGUUGAAGUGGAGGUAAAACUCCAUGGAGGACCGAACCCACGUCUGUUGAAAAAGACGGGGAUGAGCUGUGGAUAGCGGUGAAAUUCCAAUCGAACUCGGAUAUAGCUGGUUCUCCUCGAAAUAGCUUUAGGGCUAGCCUUGUGUUAGUCUGGCGGAGGUAAAGCACUGAAUGGGCUAGGGGGCUUCACGGCUUACCGAACUCUAUCAAACUCAGAAUGCCGCACAGAUGAUGCACAGGAGUCAGACUAUGUGAGAUAAGUUUCAUAGUCGAAAGGGAAACAGCCCAGACCUACAGCUAAGGUCCCAAAAUAGAUUUAAGUGGAAAAGGAUGUGCUACUGCGCAGACAACUAGGAUGUUGGCUUAGAAGCAGCCACUCAUUAAAAGAGUGCGUAAUAGCUCACUAGUCGAGUGGUGGUGCGCCGAAAAUGUAACGGGGCUAAAAUCUAUACCGAAGCUUAGGCUUGGAGUAAAUAGUUAAGAGUAAAUAGUAAAUAGUAGAAAGGUAACGUGUGAUGUAUGAAUUUGUAUAAGGAACUGGAGGUAUACAAAAGGGCAUACCGGUUAUCGGUGAGCGUAUACAAAUUCGCGAGCACAUUACCAAAGGAAGAGAUCUAUGGUUUAGCGAGUCAGUUGAAGCGGGCGGUGACAAGCAUACCGCUCAACAUUGCGGAAGGCUACGGCAAGGACGACAGCAAAGCGGAGCUUAGACGCUAUCUGAAGAUGGCGCAGGGUUCGUGCGCGGAGCUGGAAGUGCUGACAGACAUCUGUAUGGAUGUGGGCUAUAUGGAACGGAGCAUACAUGACAGAUAUGAAGCGGAGCUUGUCGCAAUCAGCAAGAUGCUGUAUCAACUGAUCAAAAGUAUCAAAUGAGAAAACUACUAUAUACUGUUAACUGUUAACUGUUUACUCCAGGGGUAGAGGAGCAUUGCAUGCGGGGCGAAGCGGUACCGUAAGGAGCCGUGGACUGCAUGCAAGAGAGAAUGCUGGAAUGAGUAGCGAGAAUUAUGUGAGAAUCAUAAUGGCCGAAAAUCUGAGGUUUCCUGAGGAAGGUUCGUCCGCUCAGGGUAAGUCGGGAGCUAAGGCGAGGCGGAAACGCGUAGUCGAUGCACAUACGGUUGAAAUUCCGUAACCACCGAAACCGAUAAGAUAUACAGGGACGCAGGAGCAUAGCCUGACCGCACCGUUGGUAGAGUGCGGCGUAAGGGACCGAAAUACAAGUAGGGAAGCAGGCGAUUGCACACUGACGAGAAAAGCUGUAUAUUUGGCGAGGUGCCCGUACCGCAAACCGACACAGGUAGAUGAGGAGAGAAUCCUAAGGCCAACGGGAGAAGCGUUGUUAAGGAACUCGGCAAAAUGACCCCGUAACUUCGGGAUAAGGGGAGCCGGCGAAAGCCGGCCGCAGAGAAUAGUCCCAAGCGACUGUUUAGCAAAAACACAGGUCUAUGCUAAGUCGAAAGACGACGUAUAUGGGCUGACGCCUGCCCGGUGCUGGAAGGUUAAGGGGAAUGCUUAGCGCAAGCGAAGGCGUGAACUUAAGCCCCAGUAAACGGCGGCCGUAACUAUAACGGUCCUAAGGUAGCGAAAUUCCUUGUCAGGUAAGUUCUGACCCGCACGAAUGGCGUAACGAUUUGGGAGCUGUCUCAACAACGUACCCGGCGAAAUUGAAGUACCGGUGAAGAUGCCGGUUACCCGCGACAAGACGGAAAGACCCCAUGGAGCUUUACUGUAGCCUGAUAUUGAAUUUUUGUAUCACAUGUACAGAAUAGGUGGGAGACUGCGAAGCCCGGGCGCCAGCUUGGGUGGAGUCACCGUUGGGAUACCACUCUUGUGAUAUGAAGGUUCUAACCUGCGGCCGUGAAUCCGGCCGGGGGACACUGUCAGGUGGGCAGUUUGACUGGGGCGGUCGCCUCCAAAAGAGUAACGGAGGCGUUCAAAGGUUGCUUCAGCACGGACGGGAAUCGUGCGUAGAGUGCAAACGCAUAAGGCAGCCUAACUGCGAGACGUACAGGUCGAGCAGUAACGAAAGUUGGAGUUAGUGAUCCGGCGGAAUGAGAGUGGAAUUGCCGUCGCUCAACGGAUAAAAGCUACCCUGGGGAUAACAGGCUGAUCUCCCCCAAGAGUUCACAUCGACGGGGAGGUUUGG
rnacentral:rRNA from 1 species